rnacentral:rRNA from 1 species
UACGUAGGGCGCAAGCGUUGUCCGGAAUUAUUGGGCGUAAAGAGCUCGUAGGCGGCCUGUCGCGUCCGCUGUGAAAUCCCGGGGCUUAACCCCGGGCGUGCAGUGGAUACGGGCUGGCUGGAGGCAGGCAGGGGAGAAUGGAAUUCCCGGUGUAGCGGUGAAAUGCGCAGAUAUCGGGAGGAACACCGGUGGCGAAGGCGGUUCUCUGGGCCUGUGCUGACGCUGAGGUGCGAAAGCGUGGGGAGCAAACAGG